rnacentral:ncRNA from 1 species
GAGAGCCGAGGUACUGGCAAACCAGUACGCCCGGUUCGGGAAGAGGGCUGGGAGAAACGGCCUUGGUUACGAAAAGGAAAUCCGGUGUUACGUGAGUCAAGUCACGUUGUGAACGGACCACACGCACUCCCACCCUACUUUCAC